GUAAAAGAUAAAAAGAGCUAUGCUAUUUGCACCUAACUGUUCACCGCUCUCUACUCAUCUUCUGCAUUCUAGAUCUGGCUGAUGGAUCAUCAUUUUUCCCAGAGGCACUGAUGAUCUUGAACUAAAAUUCUAUGAGAAGUAAGAUAAAAGGCAGAACAGAAGAGAAAGCAGGAAGAGAAGAAACACCCGUAAUGUCUGAGAAUUGUGAACUCAAGAGCAGCCAAAUUCUUUAGGGCUUCAGUGUGACUGUCACGGUGACAUGCAGGGAUGAACUGGCUACACAAUUGAAAAAAAAAAUCAUUCCAACUACUCUAAUAAAGCUGUCAUUUUUAUAAGUGACAAUCACAAAAUUAUGCCCUUUAAUAGCACUAUAUGAUAAUACUAACAAGCCAGCAAAACUUCAGGGAAAAAAUGAAUUAAAAUAGUUUAAAAUUCUAUUUGUUUCAGGAUACAGUUAAUAGUGGUUAACAUAAAAAGAUCUUCUGUCAAAAAAAUAUUUGUGCAUUACUUAGAUCUCAAACACAGUUCAUUAGCAAUUAAUUUUUUUACUGCAAUUGCAAUUACUUGGAAAUUUCAAUAUUGCUAUGAAAAUAAUCAUUUCUCUUACAUAUCAUUUGAGAAAUGUUUAUUAAAUUGAUUAAAUAUUUUCGUUGUGUGGUAGGUUUUCUAAUGGUGAAAUAUAGCCUCCUGAUUUUUUCUGGUUCAAUGCCAAUAAAUAAGACAAUGACAACAUGAAUUGAAAAAAUACUACUCUAUCAUUGAGCUGGUGAUUACUUGUUUAAAUUUGGAUGUUUCUUAAUUAGAUAAUGCAUUGACUAACCUUAAAAAUAAUAAAGCAUGUAACUACAAUGAAUUCUGAAGUAUUAUAUUAUUAGUUACAUGUAUUUAGUUUCCUUUAGUUAUUCAUGGAAAAGGAAAA